rnacentral:rRNA from 1 species
AACCUGGUUGAUCCUGCCAGUAGUCAUAUGCUUGUCUCAAAGACUAAGCCAUGCAUGUCUAAGUAUAAGUAUUAUACAGCGAAACUGCGAAUGGCUCAUUAAAACAGUUAUAAUUCGUUUGAUAAUCGAAUUUACAUGGAUAACCGUGGUAAUUCUAGAGCUAAUACAUGCUGGUAGGCCCGACUUUUUGGAAGGGCGGUAUUUAUUAGAUAACAAACCAAUAUUCCUCUGGUCUAUUGUGGUGAAUCAUAAUAACUGAUCGAAUCGCAAGGUUUUUAACCGCGAUAAGUCAUUCAAGUUUCUGCCCCAUCAGCUUUCGAUGGUAGUGUAUUGGACUACCAUGGCUUUUACGGGUAACGGAGGAUUAGGGUUCGAUCCGGAGAGGGAGCCUGAGAAACGGCUACCACAUCUAAGGAAGGCAGCAGGCGCGUAAAUUACCCAAUCCUGACUCAGGGAGGUAGUGACAAGAAAUAACGGACCGAGGCCUUCGGGCUUCGGGAUUGCAAUGAGCCGAAUUACACCCCUUAGCGAAGAUCGAUUGGAGGGCAA